CUCGCUCUCGGGCGGCAAAACAUGAGCAGACUUUUGUUACGACCCAUGAACAACAAGCCCUCGGCGGCCCACUGAUGAGAAGCCCUAUACUCCAAGUCUCCAAUUCGUAAAUUUCGUCCAUGGAUGCAUCCCCUUCCCCUGGAGAGGAGGUCCUCCCGUCGCCGGCGAGGCGACAGAUGAGAUGAGCCUCUCCGCCACCUUCCGGGUCGCCAAAAUUCCCCGCACCACCCUCCCUCCAAAGUCUUGCAAGGCCACCCCCUCCUCGGUAUCGGCCUCCUCCGCCCCCGCGUCCGGAGAUCCACCGCCCAAGGCCGCCAAGAAGAAAAAGGAGGCGGCGCCGUGGUGCGUCUACCUCAUCUCCUCCUCCCGGGCCCCUCGUACAUACGUCGGCGUCACGACUGACUUCCCUCGGCGGUGAUUCAUCCUCCUUUUCCCUUUCGGGUUUCUACUCUCAGCCUGAUAUAGCCUCAGGUGGCCCUGGUGAAUUGGAUGAACUUUCAAAUUGAUUCCUCCAUUUGGUUGCAAUCCCCUCGAGAAACUGCAAUUUUGUAUUAGCUCGACACUAAAGAAGAUUAAUCGAUUCUACUGCUUCCACAAUUUUGUGUUUGCUGAUGAUUCCCUGGAAAAUAAAACAAGAUCCAGUAACUGAGAAUUGGCUCCUCUGAUAAAAGCCUGAAUAAUAUUGUCGCUGCCAUGAUUGUUUUUUAGGCUGUCUUGUCUUGCUCAGGCAUGUAGCUUGAGAUUCUUUUUGUGUUCGUGUUGGGACUAGGGGUGCAUAAAAGGUUAGGAAGUAUUCUUACACAAACACACACAAAAAAGAAUACUAUGUUUAAUCACAUGACUUAAGUUCUUAUUUCCUAACGAAAGGAUCAUUCUUUUUCUAGCUUGAGACAACAUAAUGGCGAGUUAAAAGGUGGUGCCAAAGCCUCUUCUGCUGGAAGGCCAUGGAAUCUCGCAUGCCUUGUCGAAGGCUUCACGAACAGAAGUGAAGCAUGCGAGUUUGAAUCGAAAUGGAAGAACAUCUCCAAGAAGAUGACACGGAAGAGGAGUGAGCCUGGCAUGAAUGCAGUAUUGCAGCACCGGGAAGUGGCAUUGAGCAGAGUAAAAACCUUUCUGGAUUGCAACCACCUCAACAUCAAAUGGCACUCAAGCUGAGGCCGUUUCUCCAAUUUUUGUAUGUACACAUGUUUUACUAUGCAAGAAAUCAUCCAUUAACUUACGAAGUUGGCGAGGUUUUUUUGUAGAGGCUUUUCUGCUUCCAUGGUUUUGUACAAAAAAGGUUCCCAUGUCUUGCAGCUCAAAUGAGCAUGCAUGACACAUUCAUCUGCUAGCCAAAUGAUCAUGCUGGCAAUUGUCUUUGCUAAGAAGGCACCUGAAUCGAGUGAGCUGGUGAUUGCAAUUUUUUUUGUACGUGCUCUUUAUUGACAGCAUCAGGCAUUGUUUAGCCUGGGUUGGAUAAGAAUGGUGUAAAAUGUAUUUUUGUAUAAUGAUUGAUCCCUUGCGUUGUUAUGUUGAGAUAUACUCCCUCCGUUCCUAAAUAUAAAUCUUUGUAGAUAUUUCACGAC
rnacentral:rRNA from 1 species